UACGUAGGGUGCAAGCGUUGUCCGGAAUUAUUGGGCGUAAAGAGCUCGUAGGCGGUCUGUCGCGUCUGGUGUGAAAAUCCAGGGCUUAACCCUGGACCUGCAUCGGGUACGGGCAGACUAGAGUGCGGUAGGGGAGAUCGGAAUUCCUGGUGUAGCGGUGAAAUGCGCAGAGAUCCGGAAGAACACCGGUGGCGAAGGCGGUCUGCUGAGCAGUUGCUGACGCUGAUGCGCGACAGCGUGGGGGAGCAAACAGG
rnacentral:rRNA from 1 species